ACAGGUGCUAGUGUCCGUGUGGUGAAUCAGCUGCUGACAGAAAUGGAUGGUUUAGAAACACGCCAGCAAGUUUUUAUUUUGGCUGCCACUAAUAGACCAGAUAUCAUUGACCCUGCUAUUCUGCGCCCCGGCCGGCUGGACAAAACACUCUUUGUGGGUUUGCCACCCCCAGCAGACCGUGUUGCCAUAUUAAAGACUAUUACAAAAAAUGGCACCAAACCUCCCCUGGAUGAAGAUGUAGAUUUGGAAGCAAUUGCUAAUGACCAUCGUUGUGAUUGCUAUACGGGUGCAGACCUUUCUGCUUUGGUCCGAGAAGCUUCUCUCUGUGCCCUGAGACAAGAAAUAACAGGACAGAAGAAUGGCAUUGGAACAGGUAUGAGGUUCUCUAGGAUUUCUCCAUUCUAGUUUAUUAUUCUGUAUAUUUAAAAAUACUGCUUUAAAGUAGUGUUUCUCUAGCCUUUUUUAGAGCAGUAUACAAUGAGGAUGACUUUGUUUUGAUGAGACCCUUUAGAAGAUUAAAGAAAUACACAGUUUUCUAUAAUCAA
rnacentral:lncRNA from 1 species